rnacentral:misc_RNA from 1 species
GUGAAUCAUCGAAUUUUUGAACGCAAAUUGCGCUUCCUGGCAUCCCGGGAAGUAUGCCUGUUUGAGGGUCAGUAUUAACAAAAAAUCGGUGUGUUUGCAAAGUGUGACGUGGCCGGAGGGUGGGCUUUCUUAACUUUGUUGGUUAAGGGGCUUAAAAUUGACCUGUUUUGCGCAUUUUUUGACGGACAUAAAUUUUUUUUUUAUUCGGCUAUUGUUAAUGCCAAGAUGUGAUUAGAUUCGAGCACAUCGUGUGGUUUCUUGUCCAUAAAGUUUUCAGGAUGG